UUGGGAUCACUAGGUGGACUGCGGGAGCGAGUUGGGUUGCGAAAGUGGGCCGAGCAAUGUGCAGGGGUAUGUGGGCGUGGUGUGGUUUGGCAUGCUUAGCCUUGGGCCAAUGGUGCAUUAGGCUUGCUCUAGCUUUAGGCCGCGAGUGUUAGGCUGCUACAUUUGUCGCAGCUGCAGCUGCUUGAGCCGUGCUUUGGGCCUCAGCUGCUAUGGCAGCUUUGUGGGCUUGCUGGAUCUGGGUUGCCUCGUGCCGAGUUGGUUGCCUUAUGGCAUAGGCUUGAGCUCGUUAUUGCAAGGUGGCAGCUAUGUUGCUUCGUGUGUACUUCACAAGCAUUUUUCAUAAGAUAAUCUCACAUUGUUCACUAGUUAGCUUGAAAAAGGGUAAGGAAAAGUGUGUAAGGUAUAAGGGCAAGACAUAUUUGGUGAUAAGAAAUGAAAGGCUCAACAUAUACUGCUCAAAUUGGCAAUCUAAUGAUAUCAUUCUUUAGGAAACAUGCUUAUCUGGGCUAUGGUUAUAAACCUAUUGCCUCUAUCCUUUUCAAGUCUAUGCAAUCAAACGACAAACAUUUUGAAAGAUCUUUACGCAAAUUCUAGAGAUGUAAUUCACAUAAGUUCAUCACACAUUAAGGAAUAUGAGUGUAUGAAAAAUGCAC
rnacentral:lncRNA from 1 species